rnacentral:rRNA from 1 species
UACGUAGGGGGCAAGCGUUGUCCGGAAUCAUUGGGCGUAAAGCGCGUGUAGGCGGCUCGAUAAGUCUGCUGUGAAAGUCCAGGGCUCAACCCUGGGAUGCCGGUGGAUACUGUCGAGCUCGAGUCCGGAAGAGGAGAGUGGAAUUCCUGGUGUAGCGGUGAAAUGCGCAGAUAUCAGGAAGAACACCCGUGGCUAAGGCGGCUCUCUAGUACGGUACUGACGCUGAGACGCGAAAGCGUGGGAGCAAACAGG